rnacentral:rRNA from 1 species
UACAGGGGGUGCAAACGUUGCUCGGAAUUAUUGGGCGUAAAGCGCGCGUAGGCGGCUACUUAAGUCGGAUGUGAAAGCCCUUGGCUCAACUGAGGAAGUGCACCCGAAACUGAGUGGCUAGAGUACGAAAGAGGGUCGCGGAAUUCCCGGUGUAGCGGUGAAAUGCGUAGAGAUCGGGAGGAACACCAGUGGCGAAGGCGGCUACCUGGACCAGCACUGACACUGAGGCACGAAAGCGUGGGGAGCAAACAGG